UCUCCGUAGGUGAACCUGCGGAGGGAUC
rnacentral:rRNA from 3 species